GAUGAACGCUAGCGAUAGGCCUAACACAUGCAAGUCGAGGGGCAUCACAUGAAGUAGCAAUACGGAUGGUGGCGACCGGCGCACGGGUGAGUAACACGUAUGCAACCUGCCUUCAACAAGGGGAUAACCCGUUGAAAGACGGACUAAUACCCUAUAACACAGGGGUCCCGCAUGGGAAUAUUUGUUAAAGGACAACCGGUUGAAGAUGGGCAUGCGUUCCAUUAGCUAGUUGGCGGGGUAACGGCCCACCAAGGCAACGAUGGAUAGGGGAACUGAGAGGUUUAUCCCCCACACUGGUACUGAGACACGGACCAGACUCCUACGGUAGGCAGCAGUGAGGAAUAUUGGUCAAUGGACGCAAGUCUGAACCAGCCACGUCGCGUGAAGGAAGACGGCCCUACGGGUUGUAAACUUCUUUUAUACGGGAAUAAAGUGCCCCACGCGUGGGGUUUUGCAUGUACCGUAUGAAUAAGGAUCGGCUAACUCCGUG
rnacentral:rRNA from 1 species